rnacentral:rRNA from 1 species
AUUGAACGCUGGCGGCAUGCUUUACACAUGCAAGUCGAACGGCAGCGGGUCCUUCGGGAUGCCGGCGAGUGGCGAACGGGUGAGUAAUGCAUCGGAACGUACCGUGUAAUGGGGGAUAACGUAGCGAAAGUUACGCUAAUACCGCAUACGCCCUGAGGGGGGAAAGCGGGGGAUCGCAAGACCUUGCGUUAUACGAGCGGCCGAUGUCGGAUUAGCUAGUUGGUGGGGUAAAGGCCCACCAAGGCGACGAUCCGUAGCGGGUCUGAGAGGAUGAUCCGCCACACUGGGACUGAGACACGGCCCAGACUCCUACGGGAGGCAGCAGUGGGGAAUUUUGGACAAUGGGGCAACCCUGAUCCAGCCAUGCCGCGUGCGGGAAGAAGGCCU